CCGAAAAAUUAAAAUUCUCCUAUCAUAUUUAAUCAGCUGUAAUUAUAACACAUUCGAAAUGAAUAAUAUGCCUUGACAGUAUUUUUAUUGUUAUUGUUCAUUGCAUGAUGUUCGACUGCUUUAGAAGCACAGGAAAGAGAAGUAAACGCGCUACAAAUGGGGAAUUACCCUCGUUUAGCAUUAAAAUUCAUUUAGAUAAAAUUGCCACAAACAUUUAAAUGGGAAGAUUAGUUCCCCCUCACGCCUUAUUGCACUCGCUCAAUGGUUCCGUUAAGAACAUUUUACACGUUGGAAAUUCCGUCUUCUCAGACGGCUUGCCGUUUCCUAGUUACCCACAUUCAAAGCAAAGGCAGCAGCAAAGGCAGCCGCAGCAGCAGCAGCAGGGAAAAAAAAAAAAAAAAAGUUUUGGCAACUGGUCUGCAAUUCAUCCGCUUCUGGCCCCAGCCUCCCCUCCGCCCACAGCAAUCCGCCCCCACCCAUCACCUUUCCUCACACCCCAUUAGGUAACUGGCAGAGUCCUGUAGAAACAGCCUCUGAGUUGUACAGUAUGUAUAUAAUGUUAAAUACAAAGAAAUGCCGAAAAGCCAGGCUCCCCUAUCCUGCUUCUGUUCUGAAUGGAGGGGUUAGCCUGAAUGUGCUGAGUUUCUCACAUCCUCUGCUCUGAGCCCACAAGGCACGGUUUUUGGCUUUCUUUUCUGCCAGGACAUUUCCAGGAAAUUCACCACUGCUUUUUGCCUAUAUUAGACAUGUGUGAAAGAAUGACUUUUGAAAAGUCCGUACAACGUCUAGUUUCUCCCUCUCCUUUCUCUUGUCUCUUUCCUUCUCCCUUUGCCUCUCUCUCCCUCACUCCCCCUUUCUCUCGCUCCUUCCCUCUUCCCUCUUUCUGCCCCUCCCUUCGCAGGGCCGCAGGAAAAGAAGAACGUCGGCUUCGACUGCCAUCUUUUGGGGAUUUGGAAAACUACUCGGUAGUGCUGUCCUCAGUCUCUUGGGGCAUACUUCUUUCCGGUUCUGGCACAAACUACCCCUCAGGGCUUAAAGACAUGCAGAUGACAGAUGAUCAAGGUAUGCAUCUCUUAAUCAAGCUGCCGUAUUCGCCCAUCUAAAGAGCUGUUUAAAAAACACAUCCAGCAGAUCUCAGCCUCCAAUAUUCACAUCUUAUUUACUCCAACUU
rnacentral:lncRNA from 1 species